GGCUGAAGGGCUGGUUAAUGAAGACACCCUCAUACCAUCAUUAAGGGAGCCCUAAGUGUGCACGCCACUUUCUGCUUCAUGUGCUAUCCAUGCUUCACAUGAUACAGUUUUCAGCUUGUUGUCACCCUGUGUGUCCAAGGUGUUUACUCGAGAUUAAUUAGUGGUCCUGGGGGAGACAGAGGAUAGAGAAGCAAAUGCAAAGAGAUGUCUGCCUAGAAAAUGCUGCAAGAAAAGCUACCUGUCCUAAGCAUCCUGUGCAUCGAAUGUGACAAAUUCCACAGUUUAUCAUUUGAGCACAUCAUCAAUGACUUUGCUCUCUAAAAAUCACAAAAGAAAAUGGUUUAAAUUUCAGUGUUAAAAUGAAUGUGAUGUGCAAACAGACGUACUGCCGUCUGUACUGCUUCCAUUAAGUAAGCUGGUGUGUGUAACUGUAACUGCUUUUGUGUUGCUGUAGAUAUACAAUUUUCAUAUCUACUAAUUAAGAAAUUGUAGAUGAAAAUAUAUUAAUUUGAAACUAUUUUAUAAUGCAAACAGACAUAU